rnacentral:rRNA from 1 species
UACGUAGGGAGCGAGCGUUGUCCGGAUUUAUUGGGCGUAAAGCGUGCGUAGGCGGUUUGGCAAGUUAGAUGUUAAAUGCAUGGGCUCAACCCAUGUCCGCAUCUAAAACUACCGGACUAGAGGAUAGGAGAGGAAAGCGGAACUCACAGUGUAGCGGUGAAAUGCGUAGAUAUUGUGAGGAACACCAGUGGCGAAGGCGGCUUUCUGGACUAUUUCUGACGCUAAUGUACGAAAGCGUGGGGAGC